UUCAAUAUCGAAUUAGUAUUAAAUUAAUAUUACGAUGCUAUGUGGGUAAUAACUAAUAACAAGUAAGUAUAUAUAAUAAUUUUUGUUUUUGUAUUUUCACAAUUCCACAAUUAUUUGUUCUUAUACAGUGUUAGAAAUUUUUUCAGAAAUUAUUUUUUUAAUAUUUUGGGAAUUUUUUUUCUGAUUGCCUGGUAGAUAUCUUUAAUGUUCUAUUGUCAAUCAAGGAUGAAAAAAAUAUAUAUAAAUUUCAUUAGGUAGAAAAUGAGUAUGGAAGUUAUCAUGCCUGCGAUUCUGAGUAUAAAUUAUGGAUACGUGAUUUAUUUAGGAGUUAUAUAGAAAAUAAGGCUGUGCUUUUUACAAUUGAUGGAUGUGGUCAGUCAUACUCUGACUGUGGCGUUAUUCCAGAAGUAUACGCAACUGUAGAUUUUGGAAUUUCAUCAAACGCUUCCCAAUGUUUUGACAAAGGUUGCUCAACUUAUUAAACCAGUGAUCAGUGAUGUUCCUUUACAGUUUGAGGACUUAGAUAUUAACUCUGGUUUAGUAAUGUAUGAAACAACAUUAACAGAUGAUCAAAAAAAUGUUGAAAAUCCAGUAAACCUAACUGUGAACACGGUUAGAGAUCGAGCAAUCAUUACCUGGAUCAAGUACAAGUGGGUACUAUGAAUCGGUUGAAAGCUAAUACUACAAUAAGCUUAAACAUUAACAGUACUGUUCAAAACCUAAGCAUUUUAAUUGAGAAUCAGGGAAGGAUUAAUUUUGGAGACUUUAUUGAAGAUAGGAAGGGAAUUUUUGAUCAAGUGAUUCUCGGAAAUAAAAUAUUAAGCCCUUGGAAAAUGACUGCAUAUCCUUUGAAUGAUACAUCAUGGAUUUCUUCAAUCAAAUCAGUUGAAAACGUCAACAGUGUUAAAUUACAAGCAUUUUAUAUAACACAGUUUACAUUACCAGUUAACUAUACAAAAUGUUUAGACACUUAUUUGGACACUUAACUUGUUCUUACAAGUUAAUACUGUUAAGUCCACUUUUAUCCACAUAUUUACAAUUUAAUAAAUAAUAUUCGA